UACGUAGGGGGCUAGCGUUGUCCGGAAUUAUUGGGCGUAAAGAGCUCGUAGGCGGACUGUCACGUCCGCUGUGAAAAGCUAGGGCUUAACCCUGGCCUUGCAGUGGAUACGGGCAGACUAGAGGUAGGUAGGGGAGAAUGGAAUUCCCGGUGUAGCGGUGAAAUGCGCAGAUAUCGGGAAGAACACCCGUGGCGAAGGCGGCUCUCUGGGACGGUACUGACGCUGAGACGCGAAAGCGUGGGGAGCGAACAGG
rnacentral:rRNA from 1 species